rnacentral:lncRNA from 1 species
AUGUCGCCUGGAGUGGUGGCCAGCAUGGUGGGUGGGUGGGUGGAGGACCUGGACCCUGGGUGGCCGGCCACCUGGCCUUUCCCCCUGAGCCCCCCAGCCCCGUGGGAACCCUCAACAGCCCACCUGCAGGACAUGCGCGCCCCUCCCCAAUGCAUCCGUGGCCCUGGCCCCCCACUCCCUCCCCGUCCCUCCCUGCCUGGCCCUCGCCAGUCUCACAACUCGGAUACGGCAGCCCUGGCCUGGCCCAGCCCUGACCUGUGGCACCAGCCUCCCUCUGCAGGGCCCAGCAUCUCCACCACUGGCACACAACACCACUUGGAGACUCUCCUGGCCCCAUCCACCAGGGGACAGCAGCACCGCGUGCCCAGGAUGGCGGGGCUGCGGAACAGGUCACACGUGUGUGUCCUGAGGCCUGGCGCAUCGGGGACUGAGCAUCUCGUCCUCGGAGGGGUCCAGGCAGCCACUGGUGAGGACGCGGUGGACACCUGGAGCAGGACAGGCCAUCCAUCCGCGAUGCUCCCAGCACUCGAGCUCCCCAUCCCCAGCACGGCCGGCGGAGGAAGAAGGGCCCACUCUGGUCUCGGGUCUCGGGUCUCAGGUCCCCGUCUCCGUCAGGGGGGCCUCACCGGGCAGCCGCCCUCCCUGCCAGGGCUGCAGCUGCUCAAGCUGAGGGCGAAGGGAGCCGAGGGCCAGACCCCAAGAUGCUCCGCAUCCUCUGUCCCUCUGAAGCUGGUGUCACGGGGCAGACAAGGAGAAAGACAAGAAGGAAACCUUUGCCAUGGGACACGCCAUCAAGGACCAGAGCCCCAUCACCAUGAGGAAGCCCGGCCCAUCCCGAUGGAUGAGGCCCAACCAGGACCCAGGACAUCCCGGCUCCCUCACCCCCUGCCCCUCAGAGUCACACGCUCCCUGCCCCCUCCCGGAAUGCCCGCGGCCCCACCUCCUGCGAAUACACCACUCCUCCAGGCAUCUGCCCUGUUUGCUUCUCACAGUCCCUGGGCUGGCUCCUCCUCUGGCUUCAGGGGCCUGGCGCGACGGCAAGUCCUGGCAGUGACAAGGCUUUGAUGCAAAUAAAAGGAACUCGGAGCAGCUAAGGAAAGAGGGC